rnacentral:rRNA from 1 species
GACGAACGCUGGCGGCGUGCCUAACACAUGCAAGUCGAGCGAGUGGAUCUCCUUCGGGAGAGAAGCUAGCGGCGGACGGGUGAGUAACACGUGGGCAACCUGCCUCAUAGAGGGGAAUAGCCUCCCGAAAGGGAGAUUAAUACCGCAUAAGAUUGUAGCUUCGCAUGAAGUAGCAAUUAAAGGAGCAAUCCGCUAUGAGAUGGGCCCGCGGCGCAUUAGCUAGUUGGUGAGGUAACGGCUCACCAAGGCGACGAUGCGUAGCCGACCUGAGAGGGUGAUCGGCCACAUUGGGACUGAGACACGGCCCAGACUCCUACGGGAGGCAGCAGUGGGGAAUAUUGCACAAUGGGGGAAACCCUGAUGCAGCAACGCCGCGUGAGUGAUAACGGCCUUCGGGUUGUAAAGCUCUGUCUACAGGGACGAUAAUGACGGUACCUGAGGAGGAAGCCACGGCUAACUACGUGCCAGCCGCCGCCGUAAUAC